GCGGAGAGGCUCCUCCCUUCUCAGACGGGGCAGCUGCCGGGCGGAGGGGCUCCUCACUUCUCAGACGGGGUGGCUGGGCUGCCUGGGAGGGGAGUCUUGUAUGCUAUGCAGGAAAGAGAGCAAGACCGCCAGUCAGGACCCUUGGUCAAGCUCCAGCUCUGCCCCUAACUAGCUGUGUGACCUUAGGCAAGUCCCUCAACCUCUCUGGG
rnacentral:lncRNA from 1 species